rnacentral:rRNA from 1 species
GGUCAAGUUAUUAAGGGUGCAGGGCGGAUGCCUUGGCACUAGGAGCCGAUGAAGGACGUGAUAAGCUGCGAUAAGCUUCGGGGAGUUGCACGUAAACUUUGAUCCGAAGAUUUCCGAAUGAGGAAACUCACUUAGAGUAAUGUCUAAGUAUCAUUAAGUGAAUACAUAGCUUAAUGAGGGGAACUCAGGGAACUGAAACAUCUAAGUACCUGAAGGAAGAGAAAGAAAUUCGAUUCCGUAAGUAGCGGCGAGCGAACGCGGAUUAGCCCAAACCAAUAAAGUUUUCUUUAUUGGGGUUGCGGACAUAUCAUAACGAAGAGGUAUCGUAAUUGAAGAGGUUUGGAAAGACCCACCACAGAAGGUAAUAGUCCUGUAUGUUAAACGAGAAGACUUUAGAUAUGAUCCAGAGUACCACGGGACACGUGAAACCCUGUGGGAAGCAGGAGGGACCACCCUCCAAGGCUAAAUACUACCUAGUGACCGAUAGCGUAUAGUACCGUGAGGGAAAGGUGAAAAGAACCCCGGGAGGGGAGUGAAAUAGAACCUGAAACCCUGCACUUACAAGCUGUGGAAGCACAUUUCUUGUGUGACCGCGUACUUUUUGUAGAACGGGCCAACGAGUUACGUUAAGUAGCAAGGUUAAGCACUUAAGGUGUGGAGCCGUAGCGAAAGCGAGUUUUAACUGAGCGUUCAGUUACUUGACGUAGACCCGAAACCGGGCGACCUACCCAUGAGCAGGAUGAAGCGAAAGUAAAAUUUCGUGGAGGUCCGAACCCACGAGCGUUGAAAAGCUCGGGGAUGACUUGUGGGUAGCGGUGAAAUUCCAAUCGAGCCCGGAGAUAGCUGGUUCUCCCCGAAAUAGCUUUAGGGCUAGCCUCAAGGUGAGAGAUACGGAGGUAGAGCACUGAAUGUCCUAGGGGGUAUUGCACCUACCGAAGACUAUCAAACUCCGAAUGCCGUCAUCUUAUACUUGGGAGUCAGACUGUGGGUGAUAAGAUUCAUAGUCGAAAGGGCAACAGCCCAGAUCGUCAGCUAAGGUCCCUAAAUGUAAGUUAAGUGGUAAAGGAUGUGGGAUUGCACAGACAACCAGGAUGUUGGCUUAGAAGCAGCCACUCAUUCAAAGAGUGCGUAAUAGCUCACUGGUCGAGUGAUCCUGCGCCGAAGAUUUCCGGGGCUAAAACUUACUACCGAAGCUACGGCAUCAGUAAUGAUGGGUAGGGGAGCUUCCCAUACGGGUUGAAGCAUGACCGUAAGGACAUGUGGACAGUAUGGGAGUGAGAAUGUUGGC